AUGGAUUCGGUGCAGGGAUUCCUGCUUGUGCUCUUUCUUUGUGGCAUUAUCGGGUUUAAAGACCAGGCACUCUAUAUGUGUUUCGGUAUUGAUCUGAGCACUCGUGUAACUACUAAUAAAGCUCGAGGGGCCUUUCUUUCAGAUACUGGUUUGACUUAUCUUGGUCAGGAAGUAACCCGUGGGUAUCUUCUAUUUAUUAACAAACUGGGAAUCAGAGCUCUUCCAGAUCUUCGGAAUGACGAAAGCCUUUCUCUUUGGGGACCGGUGUUUGCUAUAGUAAUGUAUGGCACUCACUCUGGAAAGUAG